AUCAGUUGGAUCUGAUUAAUAUCACGAUUCACGAAUUAACAUGGGAAAUAUGGACAAAUGUUUAACCGCUAAAGAAAAUCAAACGGGAAAUUAAAACGAGUAAACCAUUAUGAAAGUGUCGGUAUUAGAAGAAAAAGAACUCGUGUCCAUACACCACAUCGCAUGAAACAAACAGCAAAAUUUGUGUGUCUUAGUUAUUCGAGCAAGAAAACCACUGAAAAUGAAAGCUGAAUUUCUCCAGCAGAAUGAUUCCGUGUUGAUUACAGUAAUAGAAAAAAUGACAUCGACGGACACAGGACUUCUACACAGUCGGCGCUGUGAAAACCAUUUGCUGCAAGUCGCACAACAACGCCAUAUUUUCUUCCUUCAGCUUCUUCCAGUCGUUUGAAUCCAUGACCUCACCUGCAAAAACAAUCAGAACGACGAUUAAUAAAGGAAUAUUUUUUAUUCAAAUGAUUUCAGUGUGAACUUACCCGGAUAACGGCGGAAGUAUUCAAUGGCAAAUUUCUUCAGGUGCUCCGCUGGAUGGUGGGUGGUGAGAGUCAGCAAACUGAGACAAUUCUUGGCAGACAUUUGGCGAAUCAGAUGCGUUUCACAACGAGAUUUCAAUUCAUCAAUCAAAUAUUUUUCCGCAGCGGCCAAUAGUGCCGGUGCCAUUACGUCCAUGGUUGUCGACCGUGUCAAGCCGGUGUACAAGUAGCGAAGAACUUCUUGAAAGACAUCGGGAUCGACGUCCUCGAUUUCCACCUCGCCGGUUUGCAUCUCUUUAGUGGGGUGAGUGAACAUGGCAGAAAACACAGGACUCCUCAUGGCCAAAAUGUUCUUGUGGGCUGCCAAUUUUUGGCCACGGACGUUAAAGACCCUGAUAGUUUUGUCGACGGUCUUCUAUGAUAGGCGGCUUGUGAAGAUAUCUCUCGGUUGCUGUAGCUUUUCCCUUCACUACUUUUCUUUUCAAAACUCCGAUUUUGCAGUAAAUGGUAAUAUUUUCUUUUACAAAAUUCCCAUACUCGAGCAAGGCUUUUUUGCUAACCGUAAACACUGUUACAGGGAAUCUAGUGUUUUGCGAAAUACUGGUGGUCUUCUGCCAGUUCUGGAAAAUUGUCUUGCAUUUUUCAUUGGAAAUGGUGAUUUCAACUUUAAUCGAAUAUGGAAAAUGCGCUGGAUAAAGCAGCUUUAUUUCAACAUUGGAAUGCGUAUCCAAAUUGAGACUCAGACUGAAGUUUAAAAAAUCGGCCGAUUUCAACGUUUCCCAUAUUCCACCAUCAUCAAGAAAGGCUAGUCGUUCAAUCCUCCAUUCAAAAUCCAUUUCCUCAACUGUAGCUUUUGUUUGGCACCAAAAAGAUGACGACGCUAAUGGAAUGGCCGGUAGUUUCGAUUUCGUUGAAAGAUUUUCUCUAACGAACGACGAAAAAGAACAACUCUACUCAACUAGGAAAACCAGCAACUGAUGGCCUCAUCCAUCAGGCCACAGCUAAUAACUCCGAACAGGAAUCGACGAUGCGUCGUUUUGGGCCUAUACUAAGAAUUUUAGGAAUAAAGCAGUUCUGAGAAAAGAAACGUUUGUUGUCAAGGCUGACCAAUAAGGUCAACAACAAUGUUGGUAAUACGCAAUUGUUUUUCAAUAAGUUUCUAUAUGGCCAAUGACAUAUGUACAGUACGCUUCGCAUAUUUCGAAAAUGUCUCACCUCCCAAAAAAUAAAACAUGUAUGUGUUAUGAGAACAUACAAGUUCAGGGUAACACAAAUUCCACUUACCAAUUUAGAGUUGUCAAUGUCCGGUGCUGCGGAAUCCUGUCGGCAAACGGCCAAAGUCUCUCAAAUUGACAAAGGAUGUCCAAAUCCCACAAUCAUAAAAAACCAAAAACUUAUUAAACUGUCUUGCCAUCCUUUUGCUCUGAGAUGUCUGAGAAGAGAAUUUUUAUUGUUUUUUAUUGACAUGCGCGGAUCUUAUGUUGUGUGUGUGAUUUCCCGCAAGUCUUCGCUGUAGAUAAAUAUCGAACGAAUUCAUCUCGUCAGUCAUCCCACCGCAGCUGCCGACUUGACCGCUUCUUUCACGCUCCUUGUCCCGAAAGAACUAUCAAGAUGACCAAAUCGUCUGCAUCUGUGUCUUCUUUAAUGAUGGCAACGACCUGUUGUUUCCUUAUGGCCACUACGGCCCAAGGGACGAAAAGUCCUUGGCUAAAUAGGCCCCAGCAAUUGGAUCGCUUCUUCCUGGCCCGUCCAUUGUCGUCUGAGAACAAUUUCCAACUUGAUAACGAUUAUGACGGUCGCCUUCUGG
rnacentral:lncRNA from 1 species